rnacentral:rRNA from 1 species
AUACGGAGGGUGGGAGCGUUAAUCGGAAUUACUGGGCGUAAAGCGUACGUAGGCGGUUGGUUAAGUUAGAUGUGAAAGCCCCGGGCUUAACCUGGGAACUGCAUUUAAAACUGGCGAACUAGAGUUGAGUAGAGGGGAGUGGAAUUUCAGGUGUAGCGGCGAAAUGCGUAGAGAUCUGAAGGAACACCAGUGGCGAAGGCGACUCCCUGGACUCGAACUGACGCUGAGGUACGAAAGCGUGGGUAGCAAACGGGAUUAGAUACCCUAGUAGUCC